rnacentral:lncRNA from 1 species
CGCGUAGUGGCGGCCUGUGAGGUGACCGCCUCGUCCUCCGGAUUCUCUGAGAGGUGUGCGGUGUGGACCCGCCCCUGGCACCUGGGCGUGAGUCCCGGGUUGUGACGGUACGUGAGUCCGUGAGGCCCAUUUUGUGCCAUUGUAUCUUCUGAGGCCCUGUGUUUGUGAUUGUGUUUUGCGUGUGUGAGCGGGAAACACCGGGGUUGAGUGUGUAUGCUCGUGCCCGCAGGUGUGUCGUCUCCGGCUGCUUUGGCACCACGGCAGAGGUGAGCCUACAGAACCUUAAAUUACCGUCUGACUCUGGAUGACCCUGUGUGUGUGUGUGUAGAGGACCACAGAAACCGAAUGGGUGUGUGCACAGAAACCACCGUUUGUGCAAGCGUAUGUUUGUGUGCGUGACACCACGGUGACUAAUUUUGUGGAGACUCUGUUUUUGCGUUUUUAUAGGCGUGUGUGUACAAUCCUGACUGCAGUCGCAGUGUGGACUCUCCCCGCCGUCGAACAAUGACCCCACUGGCGUGUGCUACGAUCCACCCUAAUUCUGACCCUAUCUCGCUGGCGACGGCUCCGCCCCCAGGACGGCGCUCACCCCCCUCCCCCACCGGACCCCAGUUCCAGGUCUGUAGGUCAGAGUUUAUGGGGACCCUCCUCCGAGGGCUUAAUAUGCCAAGGGCGGAUCACAGACCUGGGAGAGGCGUCUUACUUACCAGUCACCAGCGUUACAAAAGGACGUAACCCAGAAAUGGCCCUGGAAGAGUUGCACAGGGUGAAGCUUCCACUCUUGCAGCGCCUCCACGCGUUCACCGACCCGGAAGCGCUCUGAACCGCGUCCUUUUUCGGAAGAGGCUACACCGCAAAGGCACGGUGGAUGAAACCAUUGGCCAAUGGUGAUGGAACUCAAUUUCCAGCCCCUCUCCCUGGCACCGAGGUCAGGGGGUGGGAUUAAAAGUUCUAACCCUCGCCCGCUGGCUUGGUUCCCCUGGCAACCAGCCCCACCAAAGGAGUUUCCCUCGAUUUCCUGCUCGUUAACAUAACAAAAGAGAGCCUUUCCUCUCAGCGCUUAGGAAAUUCCUAGGGUUGGGGAGCUCCAGGCCGGGAAGGGGCGAAGAACAAAUACCUGUUUCUUACUACACAGCACUACAUCGCACCACGUGUGGGGGAAACCCUGGGUUUGUGGUGGUGCCCUCUGGGACUAGGUACUAAGAAUAAAUGUGUAAGGCACUAGUUUCUGCAUUCCCAGUUGUGUGACAAGGUGGUGGUGAUCAUCAAAAUAGCAGCUAACGGGUAUUAGGACUUUGACUACCACCACUGCUAGCAGCUGGCACAUUGCUUCCCCAGGUCAAAAGUGUCAUUUCCACUUAAAGUUUUAUUUAAUCCUUUUAACCCUACUGUUGUUUCUACUGAGCUCUCUGGUCUCCAGGUGCAUAAACGGAGGCACAGGGAGGUCAGGUUAACUCACCCAAGGUCACACAGCUAGUAAAGAUCAGAGCGUGGUUUUGAACCCGGGUCUUGCUGACUCCAAAACCCCUGCUCUUUGCACCCCUUCGGGUUUUUUUUUCCCCGGAGCAAGCUGCUUCUUGAACUGGGAGAUUCG